rnacentral:rRNA from 1 species
GAUGAACGCUGGCGGCGUGCCUAACACAUGCAAGUCGAGCGAACGGACGAGAAGCUUUCUCCCCUGAGGUUAGCGGCGGACGGGUGAGUAACACGUGGAUAACCUACCUAUAAGACUGGGAUAAUUUCGGGAGACCGGAUCUACUAACGGAUAAUAUUUUGAACCGCAUGGUUCAAAAGUGAAAGACGGUCUUGCUGUCACUAAUAGACGGAUCCGCGCUGCAUUAGCUAGUUGGUAAGGUAACGGCUUACCAAGGCGACGAUGCAUAGCCGACCUGAGAGGGUGAUCGGCCACACUGGAACUGAGACACGGCCCAGACUCCUACGGGAGGCCGCAGUAGGGAAUCUUACGCAAUGGGGGAAAGCCUGACGGAGCAACGCCGCGUGAGUGAUGAAGGUCUUCGGAUCGUAAAGCUCUGUUGUUAGGAAAGAACAUAUGUGUAAGUAACUGUGCACAUCUUGACGGUACCUAAUGAGAAAGCCACGGCUAACUACGUG